rnacentral:lncRNA from 1 species
CAUUACUCAAAUGAGAGUUUAAAAUCAUGUACAAGAGACUCUUAUUUAUAGGAGAAAGUCUUGCCAAACCUCUCAAAUGAGAGUGUGACAAGUGUCACACCUUAUUGGUGCAAAUCCUCUGCAUUGAGGAGAAGGCAUGUGGAGCCUCAUGCCUUCCUUGCCUACAUUUCUAUUUACACCUCUUUUUUACUAUUAUACACUCAACUUUCUUUUCUAUUUACAUCAUUCUCUACUUUGGCCCAAAAUACAAGACCCAAAACUUCCUAACUACUUUAUACAAAUUUUACAAGGCUAAGAAGAAGAAAAACACUUUACAAUAUCUUCAAUAAGUCUCAAUCUUUGUCUAUCUUCUCAACUGAAAGUUUCGAGGUCGGAUGAUUUUCAUUAAGACAUACCUGAGAUAACAAAAGAUGAAAUUUGAAUAAUAACACGAACAAAAUAAGACAUACCUAAAUCAUACAAUAAAAGAAAUUGGUAUAUUCAAGAUUUCUUUCAGCAACCCCCUUAUGUUGAGGAGUAUCAAUACAAGUUUGAUGAAGAGUUCCACUGAUGAUAAGUAAUUCACAAAAAUUAUUAGAACACCACCCAAAUCUCAUUGAAAACAUUUAAUAAAAACAUUAUGUUUGGUUUUAAUCAUAGUAUGAAACAUAAGAUAUACAUAAAAAAAAAAACUCAAAACAAUGUUUCAUAAGAUAAACCUAAUAAUAACAAAUAUGUUCAUCAAUAUAAGGAUACAUAAUAGUGAGAUCCACCUUUGUUAGGAACCAAAGAUGGACCCUGUGCAUGAUAAUGAGUCAAUUCAAAAAGGUGUAUGAGACGUAAAAACACACUUGAUAAAAGGUAAAGUAGUAAAUUUGACAAGUUUACAACCACAAUAAUUAGAGAUAUCAUUGGUUUGUAGCUUGCCUAAAACUCCAGUGGAGACCAAGUAAUUUAACUUAGUGAAAGAAACAUGUCCAAUACAUAAAAAUGAUAAAUCAAAAUGGAGGUUUCAAUAAUUGGAUUCUUUAGCUCAUCUACUAUAUAAAAUCCUCAUACCUACAACUUGUCUGAAUCAACCUCCUGAAUUGAGGAUCCUUCACAUAAAAAUUAGUAAAAGAAAAAAGAAAACGAGUAAGUAAAGUCACAUAGUUGAGCGACACAAACAAGAUUUAAAGUGAGGUUAGGAAUAUAAUAAACAUCUGACAAAAUAAAUGUGGAGACAAAUCCAAUAUCUACUAAUGGCAUUGAGGAACCAUGAGUAGUCCAAAUAGAUAUAGGUGAGACGAAAAUUGAGGACUAAAAAACAUAAGAUCAUAUGACAUGUGAUGUGAGACAUCAAAAUCAAGGAUCCAUAAGAAAUGAGACAUAUUUAUGAAUUAGAAUAAAAAUUUUAAGAAUUAUGACUUGUGACUAAGUAGUAAGAAAGUUUUGAAAUUCUUCUACAAUAUCAAAUACACUAAUGAAAUUCAAAGAUAACACAGGACACAAAUUAGAUUGCAAAUAGGACCUUGAACCCCUUAAAACUCCAUUGUGUACAAUAGCUCAAACAAUAUGAAAGGAUAUGUGGAAAUCUCACAUUAUUUAUCGAACCAGAUGAGUUUACUAGUAAAUGAUUAUCAAACCAACUAUGACCUUUAACUUAAAACCAAUUGACAUUAUGUGAAGUUGUUUAUACAUAUAUAAACUGCACUCCCAUACUUGAUGCAGGCCAUGUAAGACUUCCCAACACCCAUGUUUGUAGAAUCAUGCGAAUCCACUAGUAGUAUCAAAUGAAUUAUAGAUUCUAGCUCUCUGAUAAUAAUAAAACAAAAAUAUAAUGACACAUUAAAAGGGAGGAACGAUUUCUUAUAUUAAUCUUAAUAGAAAGUCUAAAAAAACAUAACAAAUAUACAAAUAUGACAAUAAUAUAAAAAUUAACCUACCCUUAAUAUAUAUAAUAUUAUGUUAACACAUGGUAAAUAAAAUUAGGGUAAAUAGGCGUAUUAAGAUAUGGAGGACCGAGAUGUUUCUGAAUCGUGACUCAAAAUUUACAUAUCAUGGAAGAAAGAAGAAAUAGAUGGGAGAGGAAGUAAAGCAAAAGAAAUUUAAAAAUCUCAAACCAGAAGAUCAUGUCUAAACAAAUCAUCCUUGAAACCUAAAAACUCAUCAUCAACCAAUUAAUUCUUCAUCUUUAUUUCCUAUAAAUUCAAUAUUCCAAAAACACGCUUUAUUUUUAUUUUUUUAUUUUCUAGUUUAAAAGUCAAAAACCGUCUUUAAAAUUUAAAUUUAGACAGUUAAAAAUCGCAGUAAAUUGGAAAUCCAAAAUCACCUUACGUGUCUAGAAGAAGAUAAAAAUAAUAUUUUCUAAGUUAUGUAACUACAAAAUAUUUUUUUAAAUGUAAUGAAUAAAAAAGUGAGCUAGAUUUGAGGGAAAAACAUAUUUAAACUUUUUUAUAAGUUUAAAAUAUAAGUAAAUUCAAAUUCAGCAGUUAUGUAGUACAACAGUUCCUCGAGUGGCAUCAUGCAUGUUGUAACACCCCAUAAUUUACCUAUAACUAUUACAAUACCGAUUCUACAUAUUUCUAUACAAGCUUACAGUUUUUCAAAAUAUUCCUAAUACGUGAUUAGGACAUAUAGAAAUACAAAUAUUUACAAUAUAAGUUUCAAAAUCAACGACUUAAAACUCUUCUGAUCCUCAGACACCUGUAAGAUCAUCUGCUCGUGUACGUAGUACAGUCAUCGCAGUUCAAACACAACAAGAAAAGCAAGGGUAAGCUAGUGAAAAUAGAAUUUUAUAAUGUACGCAAUUAAAUCAAAAGAGAAAACCAAAUUACAUGAUCAAUUUCUCAAAUUAUACAAUCUUCUUCAAAUCCCAACAUUAGAACAAUCACAUAGAUCUCACAUGGAUCUACACAUCCAAGAUAUUCAACAAACAACGUCUUCCGGAAGACCCGUAUUAAGUAAGUCCUACCAGAGACUAACACCUGAUCCAAAGAUUACCAGCGAAUCCAACAGAAAGGAUCAAGGUAAGUUCAAUACAACCCAAGCCGUGCAUCCAUAUGUCACGGUGUGCAUGAACUCCCCCAUCAGCUUCUCACCACCUGAUAUCUUAGUCUAUGUGACUUAGAUCAUCAGUGAAGCUCGGAGAUCUCUGUUACCACAUAGGCAUCAAUACUUAAUACACAGCAAACAUCAGUCCAUACAUUAUCCCAAAUGUAUGAAUUCAAUUCCAUACCAUUCCGUCAUACAAUAUCAUUCAAAAAGUGAUCCACAAUAUUCAAAAGCGUAAUUAACAUAAAAAACAACACUUAAAUAUUAAACCAUCAAAAUAUAAUAUUUUUACAAAUUUAAAUAAUAUAUAAACAAACAACCCAAUAUAUAAACACACAACAUCCCUGCAAGAAAAAAUGAAUAUUGGGACCACGUCCCUUCCGCAUUCAGAUCUUCUAUCCUAGGGUGCUAUUAAAAAUUAAAUUUAGCUUCCCUUACCUCAAUUGCUUGCUUUCCAAGCAACUUUUAGAAUUUUAUUCCCCACCGUUUGGAUAAGCUUCAAGAUUUACGGGCCUAAUGCAAAUUAUCCAAACAGAACAAAAUUUCAGUAUAUAAUAGAAUAAGUUGAGAGGAUUAAACUUCUCAACUGACCCCACCAAGAUUAAUGACUAAAUCCUAAGGAAAAACAGAGAACACAGGAUAUUUAGAGUAAAAAUGAACUUACUCUGUUUGAAAAUCUGAUCGGGUAGAAAUGUUCUUUAACUCCUCUGCUACAGCGUGGUAUGAUCAGAUUCUAAAAUAGAUGAAGAUUGGGAGAGAAAUUAAGAGAGAGGGAGAGAAGAGAAUUGGAGAGAGAAAGAAAAAAAAAAUUGUGGUGGGAAAGAAGGGGCUUCUCUGCCCCUUUAUUUUUAUUUUUU